rnacentral:lncRNA from 1 species
CUAAUAGAGUCAUAGUUGUUGCUGUGUAGCCCAGACUUAUGUAAUUGUUGGAUUUUCGGAUUCUAUUCUUGAUUCCCUUCAGUUUGGGUGUAAACUUGAUAUGUUUUGGAUUAGAAAUGGAUUCGGAAAACGCGUUUAAAGUUUGGAUAUUGAUGCUGGAAACUGCUUACGGGUUUUAGCAUGGAUUUUGCAGAAUAAGCUAGAAUGUAAGUUUAAGUUGGGUGAGUAAUUUCAGAACUGAAUAUGUAUGCUUAAUUGGCUGAGUAAGAGUUUCAUUUGAAGUUUAAAUGCAACAAUUAGAAGUUGAAAGUCAGUAGCAGUUUUAUGCAGAAAAUUUGUUGCGAGUUUGCAUAUGCGAGUGGCACCAUCAAAUGGUUCUAAGCGGACGAGAUGGCUCGGUAUUGCUUGCAAUUUCAGGUGGGUUCCCUUAGAGCCUUAAACUCUAGUUAGUUUUAGCUCCAUUAGUUUCCCCAAAUUUAUGCAUGACAACAUUAAUUAGAUAUAAUAAUAGUAUCCCCAAAUUAUG